CUAUUGGUCUGACGAUAUGAACCCCCAUAUGGAAACUUCCUCCAUGUCCCAUGUGCUUACUGGGUUCUCCUAUGUGAUCCAUAGAAAUAAAUUUUUUUUUAUUUUUUUUUUUUUUCCCCCUGGGUAGUUUUUUUUUUUUUUUUUUUUUUGUCUUUUUGCCAUUUCUUGGGCCGCUCUCGCGGCAUAUGGAGGUUCCCAGGCUAGGGGUCUAAUCGGAGCUGUAGCCACCGGUCUAUGCCAGAGCCACAGCAACGCGGGAUCCGAGCCGCGUCUGCAACCUACACCACAGCUCAGGGCAACGCCAGAUCGUUAACCCACUGGGCAAGGGCAGGGAUCAAACCCGCAACCUCAUGGUUCCUAGUCGGAUUCGUUAACCACUGCGCCACCACGGGAACUCCAGAAAUAAAUUUUUAAAAAUAUUCACCAUACAUUUUUUCUACUAAUUCUUCUAUCUUUUCUUUUCUUAUGAUAAGAGUAUUUAAAAUGANUAAUUGGCAGGAGAGGAAUUGAGAAGCGAGCGUUUCUACGGAAAGCUUCACUCUUGACCAUCCACUACUGCACCACGGUGGAGCUGGAGCCCCUCACAGAUAAUCCUAAAUCCCACAUCACCAUCCCUGGUCUUGAUGCUCCAGUCAGCCGCUGAAGACAAGGGCAAAUUGCAGCUAUGGAGUUUCUGAGUCCAGGCUCCAGCCAUGUGGCAGAACAAAUCCUUGUGCCCUGCAGCCAACUUGGGACUCCAUUCAUUUCAGCCAGCACAGCAUUACUCAUAACUGGAAGAACACCACAGAAACGGUCUCUUCGGAUAUUUCACAAGGAAGAAAUUGGCACGUGCUUACUUUCAAUCAGUCUCCCAACCCUGUGGCGUGUCUCUAACAUCUGCAUUUUGAAGAAGAGGUUAAGAGAUCAGAAAUGUGGAAAUUAACCUGCCAAGAAUGUAAGGAAAACACAGGCAGGACUGGUAAAAGAAAAAAAAAAAAUCAAACAAUGCGAAAAAACAGACCUUACUGGGGUUCUGUUGGUGCCUCCAAACAUUUGGAAUUAUGAUUUGGAAAUGUCUUCAACAGGGCAAUAAAAAUAUGUCAGAAACAUAAAGCA
rnacentral:lncRNA from 1 species